GGCCGUGUGGCUUUUUUGAGUCUCUCUCACACAUGCAGGAGGAUUGGUCUCAGCAUGCACCUCGGGUAUCUCAUCCUCGCUGCUUUCCUGAGGCAACCACUAGGCACCAUGGGGCAGACCACCGUCACCCAGCAAGAAGGACAAGUCACAGUCAAGGAGAGAGACACCUUCCAAACAACCUGCACCUAUCAGGUCACUAACUUCUAUGGAUUGCUCUGGUACCAGCAGAGGAAAGGCCAAGGUCCACAGCUUAUCUCAUAUCAGGCAGCAGCUGGCCCCAGGCGGAAUGGCCGUCUCACCACGUUGCUGAACACCACGGGGAAGAACAGCCUUCUCCGGCUGGAGGAAGUCGAGGUCUCUGACGCUGCCUUGUACCUCUGUGCUGUGCAAGACACCCUGGUGCAGGAAGCUUCCUUGGCUGUGCAACAAGCCAGGGGAGAGAGGGCAUUGGUUUGUGUGAGGCUGAGCUUGGGGGAAGGGGCCCUCAGCUCUCCCCUGGCAGUGUUGCUUGCCCUGUACACCCAGAGCUCUGCAGGUCAAAAUCCUCUUCCAGGAGAGGACAGUGUCAGUGGCUCGAGAGGAAGAAGAAGGUGGUGAACGAGUCUCAGGUUCCCUUGUUUUCACCGUGGGUUAUGCAGUGAUUCUGCCCAUGGCUUUGGAGAAGUGAUGGGCAAUGUAGGAGGUUGGGACCGCUUGUGCAAUGCUUCCCUGCUGCUCUUAACUUUCUGGUUUUGUCUACUGCACGUUGCUUCUUCAGGUAUUCCUGCAAACCUGUUCCUUAGAGUACCUGCUCCGGGAUGUGUCCCUCAGAGGUCAGAGUUGAAAGUAAGAUGAAAAAUGUAAAUAACAUGCCACAGGACAACGCUCCUUCCAGGAAUUACAUGCUUACAACAAUUUUGGAAAAUACUCAGAACUACUCUGUGGGCUCCUCCAGUUGCUGCAUGCCUACGUGCUGUGAUCCAGAGGACCUGCUGUCCCGCAGUGCACUCUGCCGGUCCUUGGAGGCCUCCUCAUGCCCUACCUCGUGGGCUUUCCCCAGCCCUGCCUCAUUUCUUUUGCAGUGGGACCAGGCUGUACAACUCUGUACAAGAGCACAGUGGGGGAAGAGACCGCCAGGCAGAGGUGGGCAACAGGCCCUGCCAGGAGAAGAGCCAGCUUUGAGGAAAGCUGCUUCAUGCUUGGCAGAAGGCCAGGCACCACAGAGCAGCCAUGGGGGCUUGGGCACUGGCUGCUGUCCUUGGGCUCCCUGUCUGGUGGGAGCUGGGGCUGUGUGAGAAGCAUGAGGACCCUGGUGUGUGGCCUGGCCAGGCUGAUUUCAACAUCAGCCUGUGAGUCACCUUAGCCCUGCACACCUCUGUAACUGCUGGGCUGUGCAGGGCACUGUUUGGGGGG